GUGUGCACGUGUGUGUGCACGCAUGUGUGUGCACGUGUGUGUGCACAUGUGUGUGUGUGUGCAUGCGUGCACACAUCCAAGGAUCCACCUAAAGGCCCUUUUGAGCAAGGACUGAACAAAUUAGGACAAGGAAGGACGCUGACCGCCAUCCUGUAACAGUCCUGCCACCUGCUGCCACCUAUGUGAAGUCACUGAGCUCUCUAGACCUUAGUCUUCAUUGGCCAAAUGGGGUCACGUGACACGCUAUCCCGAAUCUUCCAACUCUAACUCUUAGGAUCCUAGAGAACUCAUGUUGGAGCCGGCCAAGGGGGCAAAGCCCGCAGGAAUCGCGGGGCAGAUGGACCGGAGGGAGGGGCCUCUGGGCAGCGGGCCGGGGACCGAUGGGGCACAACUUCGACAUGAGAGUUUCCGAAGUGGGGAACCUUAGCAGUGCCUCGAGAAGGCAUUCUAGGGAGCAGCUGUUGCUAGGCAAAGGGGGAGAGCUACGACGAGGGAUGUUUUUGCCGGGACAACAAUAAAAUGGUUGAAUGGGUAUGGAGAGCAGGGCGACAACGCGGAGGACCAUCUCCUCAUGGAUGUUCUCCUCCCAGGAGACAGUGGAGGAAAAGGAGAGAGAGGGGAACGGCCCGGGGGGUUGGGCCCAGGGGCAAUCCUUGCCAUCAGCAGCUUUUUUAAAAAGUCAUUCAUUCAUUCAUUCAUUCAUUCAUUCAUUCAUUCAUUCCCUCCCAUCAGCAGCUUUUUUAAAAAGUCAUUCAUUCAUUCAUUUGUUCAUUCAUUCAUUCAUUCAUUCACUCGUUCAUUCCCUCAUUCAUUCCUUCCCAUCAGAAGCUAUUAAGGCCACAGGAAGGAAGAGGGGUUGACUGGGAAGAAAGCGGCCAGCGCCGCACCUCCGACUCCUCCGAGCUCCUCCAGGAGCCUGAGACAGUGCGUUCUCCGCCCAGAGGCCCGUCCGCAGUGACACGACAGAGCAGAGCACUCGCACGCCUGAGUGACGAUGCUCUAUGACGAUCCACCCCAUCCCGAGCUGGGGCCGCCGAGUUCUACCCCCUGACUUGUGCGAGGACUGGCCCGAGGCCCGGGGCACGCAGUCCGGAGGGGGGAUGCGGUGGAUGAAGCUGGGCGCAGCCCCUGAAGCCGUCCUUGGCCCCCCAGUCUGUGCUCCUAGAACAGACCUGCUCGCUGUCUGACCCAAGGCAGUGCUCAAGCUGUCCGACAGGAGCCCAACAGCCCCCAAGGACCGCCCGGAGCCCCAGCGGGGCCUCCUUGGCUAGAGAUGUCUGCAGGAAGGGAUGCGGGCAGGGCAGGGGCGCUGAUAGGGAGCCUGGAGAGAUAAACUCCCCCAAAGGGCCCCCACCCCCGCAAUGAGCGGAUUAAUAAGGGUGAGUUUUCCUAUCUCCUGCUCUGGCAAAGCUCCCACUGGGUUGUGCCUGUGGAAUGGGGUGUCCCUAUUUUUAGCGAAUGAUAAAAUGGAUUUCUCAUUUCUGAAAAAAGGGACAUUUGUUAUCUCUGACUCCCGAAUUUGCUUUCUCCAGCUUCUACUUUCGUGGGCGUGCUAGCCGAGGAAGGCACGCGUGCAUGUGAGGCCCAGGCAGUCUCUCAGUCCCUGGCCAAGGCCGAUGAGGUAGGGGGUCAUUUGGAGUCUUCUGCUUCGGCCUGACGGGCCUCCGAUCUGCAGAGGAAGCCGAGAAUCCUUCACUCCUCCAGCUUUCAAAAUUAUUCUUAAUAAUCACUCCUCUUUACGGGGUCGUAUCUUCAGAGGUGGAAGGCCAGAGAGGCCGGGCUUGCAGGCUUGCGACGAGCUUUUCCGGCCAGACUCCACGGGCUGGGAAGUCUGGAUAGCCCGAUCCUCCGUUUGCGGACGACAAACAAGGCUCCAACUGGUGCAGUCUUGGCCGCCAGCACAGAGCUGGCCAGCGCCAGAGCCAGGACUCUACCACGCCGAGGACCCGAAGCACCUAGAUGGUCUCCCGGGGUGCGUACCUUCCCCCUCCAUCCCACGAGAUCCCCGAAACAGAACGUGGUCGCUUUUUCUCUAACGAAAAUGGAUUUUUUAACCACCCAAGGAUGAAGAAGUCAUUCAAAAAGUCAACAUAAUUUAUAAGAUGUCAGAGGCUCAGUGAUUUGUCCCAAUCCAAAAGCCAGUGAGAGCUUGCAGAAUUCAAGCUCAGGUCUUCCUGACUUCAAGUCUCUCUCCCCAAUUCCAGAUGUCCAUUCUUCCUAACAAAACAUCACAGUAGUCUCCUUUGUUAAGGGUCUACUGUGUGCAAGGAAUGGUUCUGCUAGUGUGUUAUCCAGCACCAUCCAGAAGGAAGCCUUCCAUAUGAUAGACACUGUAAAUGGCACGAUCUGCAGAAUAGACGGUCUGGAGCCUGGGAAUCUGUAUUCAAAUCCUGGCUUUUCCAUUCACCCUGUGUCAACUUAGGUAAAUCCUUUCAUUUUUGAGCCUCAGUUCUGUCAUCUGAACGUGAAAGAGUUGGAUUCAAUGGCCUUUAAAGGUCUGUUACAGCUCUAAAUCUACAAACAUAAUUAAAUUCUAAUGAUGAGAGUCCUUAUAAUGAACAUCAGUGAUUAUAUUCUGAAUCAAUAUAGUUGGGCCCUUGGUAGCAACUG